rnacentral:rRNA from 1 species
GUGAGGAAUUUUCCGCAAUGGGCGAAAGCCUGACGGAGCAAUGCCGCGUGAAGGAUGAAGGCCUAUGGGUUGUAAACUUCUUUUCUCAGAAAAGAAUUAUGACGCUAUCUGAGGAAUAAGCAUCGGCUAACUCUGUGCCAGCAGCCGCGGUAAGACAGAGGAUGCAAGCGUUAUCCGGAAUGAUUGGGCGUAAAGCGUCUGUAGGUUGUUUAAAAAGUAUUCUGUCAAAGAUUAGGGCUUAACCCUAGAUAGGCAGAAUAAACUUUUAAGCUAGAGUUUGGUAGAGGCAGAGGGAAUUCCCGGUGGAGCGGUGAAAUGCGUAGAUAUCGGGAGGAACACCAAAGGCGAAGGCACUCUGCUGGGCCAAUACUAACACUGAGAGACGAAAGCGAGGGGAGCAAAUGGGAUUAGAAACCCGAGUAGUCC